CUUUUGUUUCUUCUAGGGUUCCUAUGGAGUCACACUCAUCCAUGCUUCUUGGAAGUAAAGGCUCAACAUCUAAAUAAGGUUAUAACUGAGACCAUCUAUUAUCAUGUACUGAAAGCUUCUCAAUUGGCUGGAAAAGAUGGGCCUUACAAAACAGAUAGUGGGAGGCCUGUGAGGAAGGGAAUACUUCAGGUGGACAUGUGGGGUGUAAUACCAUUGGAUUGCUGAUAUUGGGAUGAUCUUAGAGAAAUGAUAUCCAAGAAUGGGGUGAGAAAUUCUCUUCUUCUAGCACCUAUGCCAGCUACUAUGACCAGCCAGAUUCUUAGCAACGAAGAUUGCUUUGAGCCAUACACCUCCAACACCUACAGUUGCAGAGUUUUAAGGUUUUAAUGUUUGUAGUGAUUUGGCUCUUCAAAGCAGGGCUUUGCAUCUGUCUGCAGCUAAUCCCUUUUUAUUUUCAGUGGUGAAUUUGUUGUAGUGAGCAAGCAAUGACUUCAUGAUUUGACGGAAAUGGGCCUAUGGUGUCAUGCUCUUAAGACUGAGAUACUUUUCCACAAUGGCUUAGUUUCUAAAAUACUUGAAGAGCUUAAGGCUAUCUACAAGGACUGAUACCUUUGGUUCUUUUCCAUUUCUUUUUGAGCUGCAGUGUAACAAAUCUUGUUUAUCAUUCUAAUCUACUAUUGGCAUCUAAUACCAGGACUGUGUGGGAGAUCAAGCAAAAUACCCUGGUUAACAUGGCUGUUGUUGGGGAUGCUAUAUGGAUCAGAGUCAGAGUUUGAAUAUUCACAUGGAGCAAGAUCCUGGAAAGCUAACUGCCUUGCAUAUCUAUGCCUGUUCCAAGGUAAAUGCUAACUUGGUGAGCAAUGAUGUCAAUGCCUUGAAGACACAAACUGUAUGUUUGUUGCAAAAUGGAGAAGAGUGCAUGCCUCGUGGAAGAUAAAAUUCCAUUUUGUCAAAUCUUUUAGUGAAGAUCUUAUUGACAAGUAAGAACAAUGGAAGGCUGUAAGCCUAUCUCUUGAGCAUCAAGCACCUUGAAAUGGAAAUGAAAGGAUACUAAUAUAGUGUAAGUAUAGAUCUGGCCAUCUUGAAACAACAGCAUGGUCUAGCUUGUUUUCUCCAUAUAGCCUUUUUUGCAUGAGUUCUUGCAUGGCUCCCGUUCAUCGGGGUGUUGCCAUUUAGUAAGUAUGCCAACGUAUAUAGUCUUCUUUUAAAUGUUUGUGGAAGAAAAGUCACAUCAUGUUAUAUAAAAGUUUCUGUUGUGUUCAGCUGAUUUUUGUUUUAUCUGAUGGUCACAUAUACCAUUAAUGUUAUUGUUGAUCUCUCUUUUGCAUGAGUUUACCUAUAGUCUUUGUAUAAAACUUGCUUUGCCUGUCCGGGCUUUGAUUUAGGACUUUUGUAGGCCAAUAUAGAAUGUCUUGUCAUCAGCAGUUGGCAAUGUUACAAUCUUUAGUCGAGAGUCAUUUGUUAUGGAAAAGCUGGAAAUGGAAUUGCUGGCUAAAAAAUUUGUCUUUUUAUUUGAUUUCGGAUAUUAAGGGGGGCCUCAUGUUUAAUCUUUAUCAAACAUGUUAAAUUUUGAGCUUCCAAACUAAAACUCAUUGAAAAGAGGUGGGAAGGCCCUUGUUAUAUUCAAGUGUCCAAGAUACUCCAAACUUAAAAUCAAUAUGUGAUCUAUUUUAUCAUUAGUUAAUACUCCUCCCUUGUAAAGAUGAUAAACGUAUCAUGUGGCCAGAACUUCAAGCAUAAGCAUAACAAAUCCAUCGUCUAGCAUAGGCGUAACAAGUCUAUCUUGUAGAGUCCCUUGUUAUUUUCAAGUGUCUAGGAUAUGCCGAAUUUAAUCAAUGUAGGAUUUAUUUUACAACCACUUAAAUCUUCUUUCAGAAGCCCUAGUUCGUAGGUUGUACACUUUGUCAAUUGUCAGCGAUUUCAAGCACUAUUGCAAAUGAAUUGAUCUUCGUUAAAAAUUUUGUGACUAAAUCUUCUAAGUUACUUGGUACGUAACCAACGCCGUCAGAUUUGAAAAGCAUUCGAGGAGAACUAGGUUUGGAUUUACUGAAAAUGGUGAGUAGGAUUAUUUUUGAUUAUUUCUUUAUGACUGACAUGAGCUGCGAGAAAACAAAAGGUGAGACUUUUUGAUUUGUCAUGAGAUAUGGAUAUCCUUCUUUGCCAAAAGUCAACAUCAAAGGAAUGGUCCUAAGUUGAACUUUGGAUUCUAUCUAGGUUUUGUUUUUAAUUGGUUUGGAAGUUUCCCUUCCAACCAGCUCCCACUUUCCAUCGGAUUCAAAAAAGCAAGUUGCAUUCAUUAAGGCUGGAAAUUCUAUAGUGGAUAUAUACUGAGUUUUGCAUGUGGAGACUGGAGAAUGAUUUGACAGUGACUCAGCACCUUUCAGAAGAUCAUUGAUAUUUGCGGCUUUGAUAAGAAUAUCAGCCCUAUAAUGCUUUAGAUGUAUGUGGAACAACUUUCUGGACUUUGUAAAAUUCUACAAUAGCUGCAGGAUUUGUAGCUAUCCCUGACCAGACACUGUAGCUGAAAGUUUGUUUUUAAGUGGUGCGUACUUUCCACUUUCCAGGCUGUUUGGCCUCUGACUCCUGAUGAUUGGGAAGGUAUUUCUUUCAAUCUACACCAGAAAAGGCCUGAGCCUGUAACCUGCCAUGCAUUUAUGUUCUUUCCUGUUCACCUUAGUCUUUAAGCUCCUUAUUUCUAGUCUAAAUGGAAAAGUAACAGAACUUCCAAACAUUUUUACCGCUUUGAUUCCGUUGGUCCAAGUGCAUCGCACCCAUCCAGGACAAGACAAAAAAAUAAUAAUAAUAAUUGUCCACUUUCUGCUUAGAAACAUGUUAGUCGUUUCUGUAAUUUUCAGGAAUCAUCGUGGAAGCCUGCAAGAUUUUGGAGUUACAUGGCAAUUCGAAGUUAUCUCCAACACCAAAGAUCAGGACAAACCAGAAAAAUUCAACUUUGAAAAGUUCUAAAUGCUUUGAUUACAAGUCAUUUUCAUGAUGAAGUAUUCAAGCCGAUCUUUGCUAUCUUAAUUUCAUUACUAUGCUAUUUUUUAUAUUUUUUGUCCGAACAAAAUUUAAGAUGGGAGGAAGUUUUCUCAUUUCAAAAUCGAGUA